AGUGAACGCUGGCGGUAGGCCUAACACAUGCAAGUCGAACGGCAGCACAGUAAGAGCUUGCUCUUACGGGUGGCGAGUGGCGGACGGGUGAGGAAUACAUCGGAAUCUACUUUUUCGUGGGGGAUAACGUAGGGAAACUUACGCUAAUACCGCAUACGACCUACGGGUGAAAGCAGUGGAUCUUCGGACCUUGCGCGAUUGAAUGAGCCGAUGUCGGAUUAGCUAGUUGGCGGGGUAAAGGCCCACCAAGGCGACGAUCCGUAGCUGGUCUGAGAGGAUGAUCAGCCACACUGGAACUGAGACACGGUCCAGACUCCUACGGGAGGCAGCAGUGGGGAAUAUUGGACAAUGGGCGCAAGCCUGAUCCAGCCAUACCGCGUGGGUGAAGAAGGCCUUCGGGUCGUAAAGCCCUUUUGUUGGGAAAGAAAAGCAGCAGGUUAAUACCCCGCUGUUCUGACGGUACCCAAAGAAUAAGCACCGGCUAACUUCGUG
rnacentral:rRNA from 1 species